CCCUAUUCCGUGAACAUCACUGCGCUCUACUUGGAUGGAGGGGGAAUCCCAGCCCCAGGCGGGGCCAAACACAUGAGGCUGAAAUCCUUCCCGUCCAGUUCCCUUGUGACUCAGUGAGGAAGGCUGGGCAGGACCAUGCAGCAGACCGAGGAAUCUGAGUCUUUGGAGAGACAACCAUCAGCCUGUCCGCGCACUGGGAUCACGCUGAUGGGCCAGCUCAGCAGCACAGGGUCAUUUUUUCUCCCACCGCUGGUGACUCAGUUGAUGAAUAUGUUGAAAUUGCUCUUAAUAAAGCUCAUGUCCACGAAGCCACAGUGGAACCUGAAGAAGUGCGUGUGCAGGAGGAUGUCCAGCUCAGCAGCGAGAGGAGACCAGGCAUUUUGAAGCCCAGAUCGAGGGUCCGAUGCAGAGCGCCAUGAUGACUGAGGACUGCAGCCUGGAAGAACAUAAAAAGAAAGCACAAGACCACCAUGCUGCGUCUGGAUCUGUGCAAGUGGGCGAGGGAGCCAACUUCCAAAGGCUGCGGCAAAGCACACGCUUCCCUAGAGAUACUUGUGGACAGACGAACAGGCGCGUGGAAGAGUAAGACGCUCCCGUGUUAAUUAUGACACAUAAUGUCGUGUGAAUGAAUGUGUGAAAUUAAGU